UAGUCCUUUAUUCCAUCUUCAGACUUAAAGUUUCUAAUUUUAUGUGGGGUAAAAGAGGAAAUGUGAAUUAUAUAAACUUAAAGUAUAAUUAUGAUAUCUUAAAAAUUAUAAUACAAGUAUUAAAAAUUUGGUUAUAAGCUACAAAAUUUUGGAAAAUUAUUAUCAUGAAAUCAAUUGUCCUCCCCCCUACUUCCAUAAAAGCAUUUUUUUCCUUUGAUUUCUUCCACGUUUUUCCUUUGUUUCAUUUUAUUUAUUUUUUUAUUUAUUCACUUUACAUCCUGCUCACUGCCUUCCUCCUGGUCACCUCCUCCAUCAGGCCUUCCCUCCAUGCCUCCCACCCCUUUUCUUCUGAGCAGAUGGGGGCCCUCUUCAGUAUCCUCCCACUCUGGUACAUCAAGUUUCUGUGGGACUAGGUGCAUCUUCUCCCACUGAGGCCAGACAAGGCAGCCCAGCUAUAAGAACAUAACCCACGGACAGACAACAGCUCUUGGGAUAGUUCCUACUCCAGUUGUUCAGGACCCACAUGAAGACCACAUGUGUGUGUGUGUGGGGGGGUGGUGGCUAGGUCCAGCACUUAAGGCCAUUUUGUUCUAUGAUGUGAAAUUAAUAUUCAUGAAUGUGAUCACAGUUUCAAAAGGAGACAAUGAAGAAACAAGAUAAUGAGAAAAACAAAAAUUAAAAAAAUAAGAUUUUGGGGUGGAGAGAUGGCUCAUCGGUUAAGAGCAGCAGUUAAGAACUCAGAGGUCCUGAGUUCAAUUCCCAGCAGCCACAUGGUGGUUCACAGGCAUCUGUAAUGGAAUCUGAUGCCCUCUUCUGGAGUGUCUGAUUACAGCUACAGUGUACUCACAAAAUAAAUUAAAAAACUAAAUUAAGAUUUUGAGUAAUAUUAGAUAAAAGUCAACUGAAGACCAGUAAAUCAGUUUUCAAGAAAACCAGACAACUUUUGUUAUUUAACUUUGUGUCCAAUAACUCCAUCAAACUUAAAGUUAAUCCUUUGUUUUAAAAAUACCAGGAAUUGCUCAGGAAGGAUCCUUUCUAAUAUAAAUUUUAAAAUCAAUACUUUGUAUUUAUUCUUUGAGAAUCUCAUUUAUGUGUACAAUGUGUUUUGAUCAAAUCCCCUCCUACAUUCUAACUUCUUCAGCACCCCUCCCCCAUCUUCUUCCACCUCAUUUCCAUAACUUGCUGACUCCAGUUAGUACUGUCCUUAUAUUUAUGGGCAUGACCCUUCACUGGAAUAUAGGCAACCUAUAUGGAACAGUAUAGCUCCUAAACUGGACAUGGGGCCUUGUGAGCCCCUCCCCAAUCCAUGCUAGAAUUUUGACUGUCUUGACAUGUAGCCAGAUCUGCUGUGAGUAGCCAUGCCAUGUCCUGAAGGUAUGAUUUUACAGCAUCAUUCUCAGGGCCUUCUGUUCUUCCUGCCUCUUCCUCUGUGAUAUUCGCUGAGCCUUUCCUGGUGGGUGAGAGGUAGAUGUUCCAUUUAGAACUGAGCACAGAGCUAAAUUUUGAUACAAAAUCUUGGGUGCUGUUUAAGUUUCUUAACAUUCUUACCACUGUAUGUUAAUUAUACAAAAUAAUGGAAUUCAUUAUGAUUUUAUAUAUGUAUAUAUAUGGUACUUCGAUCAUAUUUACUGUCUUUUUACACACAAAUACUCACGUUUGCUGGUCUUAGUCAAUAGACAAUAUUCUAUAACUUUUUGGGAGAGGUUUGCUUGUGUCUGUUUUCUAAAUAUUUUAAAAACAUACCCUCACAAAUGAAACAUAAAACUUGUGUUUUUACCGUAUUUCAACACACUCCAAGCUUUGUUCUUAAAUAGAGAGUCUAGGUAGAAUUGUGGCCUUUGGAGAGUUUACAUUGUGGAAAGAGUAGCUUUUUAACAGGCUCUGAACCCAGGCUAAUCACUCUUCUAGAGCACUGUCGAGUUCAGAAUUAUAGGUCCCUUCUCGAAACUCAAUCUUCUCCCAAGUGCAUUUGGUUUUGUACUUUUUUUCGUUAUUUAUUGUGGAACUCUGUCUAUGAAUUAGCUUUAAUUUGUAAGAUGCUUGCACAGUGUAGUUAUGGUGAGCAAUUCACACUGCUUCAUUCAAAUUCUGGCCUUUUUCUCCCUGUAUAAGUACUUUUUGACUUAAAGAUGUUACAGGAUGUUGUUUUAUAGUUUAAAAACUAAGUUUUACUGAAAGAAAAAAGGCACAUGAUCAUCUCAUUAGACAAUGAAAAAGCCUUUGACAAAAAAACACCCAAUACCCCUUCACAAUAAAAGUCUUGGAGAGAUCAGAGAUACUAGGGAUGUAACUAAGCAUAAUAAAGACAAUUUAGAGCAGGCCUAUAGCUGACAUCAGAUUAAAUAGAGAAACUUAAAGCAGUUCCACUAAAAUCAGGAAUAAGACAAGGCUAUGCCCCUCUUAUUGAUUCAAUAUAGUAUUUGAAGUUCUAACUAGAAGAAUAAAACAACCAAAAGCGAUCAAGGGGAUGCAGAUUGGACAGGAAGAAUUCAUAAUAUCAUUAUUUGCAGAUGAUAUGAUAGUAUACUUAAGUGACCCCCAAAAUUCUACCAGGAAACACUUAGAGCUGACAAACUCCCUUCAUCGAAGUGGUUAGAUAUAAGAUUCAC
rnacentral:lncRNA from 1 species